GCUAUUUAUGUUCAUAAAUAAUUUUAUGCCCAUUUCUUGUGUAUUGAAAGUGGGACAAGCGAGAUAACUCUAAUACUUUUGUUCGGUCUUGUUUUUGGAACAGCCUCAGUAUAUGAUUGAGUACAAUCAGUGGCAGCGCCAUAUUUGUAUGGAAAUACAAUUUUAUUUUUGAACAAGCAAGUUGGCUUACAGCGUGUCCAGUGCACAGUUAAUACAUUUGAUGGACUUCUCGUGGUGUGAUCUUUUGGAUUUCCAAGGAAUUCAGCACAUUUAGAGCCAGUCCAAGAGUGGGAAAUACAGAAAGGGACCCUUGUGAUCAAGCAUUUAUUUUUACUUAGAACAAGAUGAGUACCGGUAAUAGGCCUACAGACUAUGGGGUGGUUACAAAGCCAGUUAAUUUACAACAAGAGGAAGUCGCAAGUGACACUCCAACAAGCAACAAUCAUUCAAGCCAAUUAGAAGAUGGCAAUUUUACCAAGUAAUUCAGGUACUAAUUAACAAACAGCAUCUAAGGAGUUAUCGCUUAGCGCAGGGGUUAAGAAUCCCAGUAUCAUUAAGCCAUUGGGUCUCGGUGUAGAUUCUAAGAUAAAAAGCAAAAUCUGGGGAAAUGAAUUUGUUGAUUUGGAAAUUUGUUAGGAAUCAAAAAUAAGAAUAAUUAUAAAGGCUUUGAAAUCAGUGAAAUCUUAGAAGGGGAGUGUGAAAUAAAGCCCAAAAAGCAAACAUUAAAUUCAGAAAUCCAUAGUGAGGCAUUGGCUAUCAGUUUGGGUAAAUCCAAAGUAGGUCUAAAUUCUGGGUUUCUGGUAUUCAUAAUCAAUUCAAAUCUGUUCAAUAUCAGGAGGUAGAAGAUGCAGUAGGUUGAAUGCGCAUAUAUGAGAAAAAUUGCGGGUUGUUUAAAUUGGAUAUUCAGAAUGCAUAUAAAAUUGUUCCAAUACAUUGUUCAGAUUGGGAAUUGUUGGGUUUUACUUUAGAAAAUGAAUACUAUUUUGACAAAACUCUCCCUAUGUGACUUAAUUUUUCUUGUCAGUUAUUUGAAGAAUUCAGUACUGCAGUACAUUGGGUAUGUGAAAACAAGUUAGGCUUACAUGGGAGACUAGUUCAUGUUUUUGUUCAAGGAUAUUGGUAUUCCAAUUAAGGAGUUAAAAACUGUCCUUCCCUGUGCUUCGCUUAUAUGUUUGGGUAUUGAGUUGGAUUCUAUUUUGAUGGAGUCAUGUUUAGCACAAGACAAGUUAACUAAAGCUAGACACCUAAUACAAAUUCACAAGUCUAAAAAAUCUAUAACAUUACUAGAGUUACAGUCUGUAAUAGGUCUGUUAAACUUCGCCUGUUCAGUGGUCAUUCCAGGACGCCCAUUUCCUAGGCGGCUAAUUGAUCUGUUAAUUGAGUUAACUCAACCUUUUCAUCAUAGGAGAUUGAAUAAGGAAGCUCGAGCGGAUUUAAAUGCUUGGGGAUUGUUUUUGGAGCAUUUCAAUGGCAAGUCACUGUUUUCAUCAGAGCAAUGAGACAAUUCUGACUCAUUACAAUUGUAUAUGGAUACAAGUAACAUUGGUUUCUGUGGUUAUUUACGAAAUCAGUAUUUUAGUGGUAUAUGGCCUAAAACCUGGAAAACCUAUCAUAUUACAAUAAAAGGAGUUAUUUCCCAGUGUACUUGCAGUUCAGCUUUGGGCAGAUCAACAAGCUUAGUGGACCCUAGGUUACCUAUAACACCAAUCAUUCUUAAACAGCUGAUAGCUUCUUUACAAUAUACAACAAGUUUAUAUUUUGUACAGGUACUUAUGAAAAGUGUGUAUUUAGUGGCAUUUCACUGUUUUCUUAGGAUUGUAAUUUACAGCUUCAAAAGACAGAAAUUGUCAUUUAUUGACAAUACAAUCUGUACAUUUUUUAGAAAAUACUUCAGACUGCCCAGUAGGGUUGGAGUUGACUAUGAAAACUUUCAAACAUGGUAAAGGUCAAUCUUACACUGUGCAUGUGAAAAAUGACAGCAAAGAUAACACAAUAUGUCCUGUUCAGGCCCUAUGGACAUAUUUUCAAUUACGAAAACCAACUUCUGGUCCUCUUUUUACUUUCAUGGAUGGGUCACCGGUGUCACGGAAAUAUUGUACAGAUCAGUUAUGUUUGCCAUUAAAUUGGUGUGGGUUAGAUUGUAAAUGAUAUAAAGGUCACAGCUUUAGAAUCAGAGCAGCAACAACGGCUUUUUCCAGUGGAGUUCUAGAGCAAAAAAUUAAAUCAAUGGGGCGGUGGUCAUUAGACGCUUUCAAAAAGUACAUUCGAAUCCCCUUUGUAAACCUUUGACUGCUCACGAGGUGAGGUUGAGGUAAAGAGUUAUGACCAUGGUGACAAGAGCAUCUGGUCAGAUUAUAAUUCAUGACAUUUCAAAUCUACUCUGAGUUGAGUUCCUAUAAAAUAGUGAGUAAUUUGUUAACUUGUUUGGUUGAUUGCAAUCAAGUGUUUUAAUUACUGGUGUCACAAAAUUAUACCCAAUCAUGGUGACAAGAGCAUCUGGUCAGAUUAUAUUUCAUGACAUUUCAAAUCUACUUUGAGUUGAGUUCCUAUAAAAUAGUGAGUAAUUUGUUAACUUGUUUGGUUGAUUGCAAUCAAGUGUUUUAAUUACUAGUGUCACAAAAUUAUACCCAAUCAUGGUGACAAGAGCAUCUGGUCAGAUUAUAUUUCAUGACAUUUCAAAUCUACUUUGAGUUGAGUUCCUAUAAAAUAGUGAGUAAUUUGUUAACUUGUUUGGUUGAUUGCAAUCAAGUGUUUUAAUUACUGGUGUCACAAAAUUAUACCCAAUCAUGGUGACAAGAGCAUCUGGUCAGAUUAUAAUUCAUGACAUUUCAAAUCUACUUUGAGUUGAGUUCCUAUAAAAUAGUGAGUAAUUUAUUUGGUUGAUGUCAAUCAAGUGUGUUAAUUACUGGUGUCACAAAUUAUACCCAAUCAUGGUGACAAGAGCAUCUGAUUGUAAAAUAAAUAUCAAACCAGUAAUAGAGAAUAUGAGGGUUUGGACAAUUGUCAAAAUAUGUGAACAAGUGUGACACAUUAUCUGUUUCAGGAAAGAGGACAUUGGCUUAGAAAAACAGUUUCAACCAUGAUGACAGGAGCAUCUGGUUGUAUCAAGUAGUAAAGUUUUGAUGUAAUUAUGCAUCUACAAGUGUGACACAUUAUCUGUUUCAGGAAAGAGGACAUUGGCUUAGAAAAACAUUUUCAACCAUGAUGACAGGAGCAUCUGGUUGUAUCAAGAAGUAGUAAAGUUUUGACGUAAUUAUGCAUCUAACAAAGUUUGUGUACAAUGCAUAAUAAUAUGGUAUUGUUUACAAGAGUUGAAAUACUUUCUUUGUAUGUUGGUAAUGUGUUAUUUUUCAUUGUUUGUAUCCGGUUUGUAUGAAUUUUAGGGAUACUUCUAUUGUAGUAAGAUUAAGACUCGCACUAGGGUUGGGUGGGGAUUACUGCUGAUGACAGUUCAGAUCUGCCUGUCAUUGGCAGUAAGUGGCAUUUUUACCUUACCCCACCUUUGAUGUAAAAAUUUUAUACAGUAAUGUUUUGAUCUAUUUCGAAGUUGCAUGUAGUGAUAUUGGUAUCACUGCAAGGUUUAUAAAUGUAAAUCUAUCAAACUACAUUUUCAUUUUUGUAAUAGUUUUACAAAAUUGUCAUUUGGUAAUAAAUGACCUUUUUCAACUUCAAACGGUGUUGUGUUGGUAUCAGAUAGUAUAAUAUUACAUCAAACAGAGCAACCUUUAGUGCGAGUAUCAGGAAGAUGGGCAUAAAUGCUAUUUAUGUUCAUAAAUAAUUUUAUGCCCAUUUCUUGUGUAUUGAAAGUGGGACAAGCGAGAUAACUCUAAUACUUUUGUUCGGUCUUGUUUUUGGAACAGCCUCAGUAUAUGAUUGAGUACAAUCAGUGGCAGCGCCAUAUUUGUAUGGAAAUACAAUUUUAUUUUUGAACAACCCUCCCACCUCUCCCUAAUAGUUAAAAAAUUAUAGUGUUCUUAAUUGAUGUGAAUAAUUUGACAAUAUUUUUCCAUAUUUCUUUUUUCAGUAGGUAAGGCAUUUUUACCUUACCCCACCUUUGAUGUAAAAAUUUUAUACAGUAAUGUUUUGAUCUAUUUCGAAGUUGCAUGUAGUGAUAUUGGUAUCACUGCAAGGUUUAUAAAUGUAAAUCUAUCAAACUACAUUUUCAUUUUUGUAAUAGUUUUACAAAAUUGUCAUUUGGUAAUAAAUGACCUUUUUCAACUUCAAA